rnacentral:rRNA from 1 species
AGCAGCCGCGGUAAUUCCAGCUCCAAUAGCGUAUAUUAAAGUUGUUGCAGUUAAAAAGCUCGUAGUUGAAUUUCGGGGUUAGUAGGUCGGUCAUGCCUCAGGUAUGCACUGGUCUCACUGAUUCCUCCUUCCUGAUGAGCCGUAAUGCCAUUAAUUUGGUGUUGCGGGGAAUCUGGACUGUUACUUUGAAAAAAUUGAGUGUUUAAAGCAGGCUAACGCUUGAAUACAUUAGCAUGGAAUAAUGGAAUAGGACGUUCGAUCCUAUUUUGUUGGUUUCUAGGAUUGACGUAAUGAUUAAUAGGGAUAGUUGGGGGCAUUAGUAUUCAAUUGUCAGAGGUGAAAUUCUUGGAUUUAUUGAAGACUAACUACUGCGAAAGCAUUUGCCAAGGAUGUUUUCAUUAAUCAAGAACGAAAGUUAGGGAUCGAAGACGAUCAGAUACCGUCGUAGUCUUAACCAUAAACUAUGCCGACUAGGGAUCGGAUGAUGUUAAUUUUUAUGA